UACUGUGCAACAAUCUUUCCUUAUCUUAUUUUUGCCUGUGGUUUUUCUGUCUUUUUUGUUUGCUCUUUGUUCUGUCGUUUUGUUGAUCCACAAUGUAACAAGUUCCCACACAGAGAAACAGUCCUGCCAACACCUAUCUUCCCCAUUCCAGAAAAAGCACCAAAGUGAUAAUAUGAUAGUUUCCCCUGUAAUUUAUACCACUUUAUUGUGCUUUUUGUAAGUAUCAGCUACUUAAGAUCUGUUUAUUCCAUUUUGUGAAAUGGCCUGCAGAGUAGGAUCCCAUAUUAAUAUGACUUCUAAAAUGGACCAAAAUUUCAUGUCGCACUCUUGAAAUACUUACUAAGACUUAUUCUUAGGUGCAUGAUUAAUUAUGUAAGGUAAAUAACUAAUUUGUAAAUUAAACAUGUAUGCAACUUUUUAAUAUACGUAAGUAAUUAUUUAAUUUGUUCAUGUGUUCUUUUAGAAUAUCCAGUUAAACUAUUAUAAUUAAUGCUAUUUUAAGAGCAAAUGAGUGUAAAAUUGCAGAUGUCUUUGAAGGAACAGACUUCACUUAGGCAGGAGGUGGUAAUUGAAAUAAUUGAACUUCAUAUUGUAGUUAAAUUUGCCUCCUGCUUCUUUUAACAAUCACAAAAGAAUAUGGAAUUAAGCCCUUUAAACUCUCAGAUGAGAUUAAUUUCAUGUCAGUGUACUUGAGACAAAGAUAAAAGAAAGAAGAGUGCUUCAAAUGGGGCUUCCAUGUUCUUCCUCACGAAACAACUCCUGCUAUAACAAAUCUUUCUGACAGGACUUUCUCUCCGGAUAUAUAAAAUGCAAGGCUGUGUAGUGUCAGAAACUGGCAGGCCUCAGGACUGGUUUUUCCAUACAUUUCAAAAUGCUUAUGUGUCUGUAAGGCCCUUUCCUUGGAACAGGAGGCACACAGCCCUGAGAGCCAGACGCCCCUCCUGUGAAUGCCCCUGACAAAGCUGAGGGGGCAGCUCUGUGUGCCCAGGCUGCAGCCACUGCCCCAUCCCUGAUGUGCCUGCUCCACUCUCCAGAACAACACCCAGGCAAGCUAGAUAGGUGUGUCCAUCUGUCUCUGGCAGCAAAAACAGCUGAGGGGGCUUUGUUCUUGCCUUUUGUCCUCCUUCAACCCCAUUCCCAUGCCUUAACGUGGUCCCCAUUGCUUUGCCAGCUGUGCUGCAGUAAUCUGGGCUAAAGAAGUCUUCUAAAAGGGAGAGGUUUUCCUCCCCUUCAUACCGUGCCCCUCACUGACACAUCUUGAAGCACUCCAGCAGCACUCUGCCAAAUGGGAAUAGAGGAUUCAGAGCUCCAGGGUCCUGCUGAGGGCUUGUAGCAUGUGGCUGACCUCUCCUGAAAACGAAGCAGAAAUCACAGGCAAUUGUGCAAUCAUGAUAUCUGAGAGCACAUGGCUGAGCCUAAAUGCAUAGAGGGAGGGGACAGGGAGCAAAGGCUGGCUGUGGGUGAGCCAACAGGUUUAGGAGAAGUUAGGUUUUGGAAUGAAGUGGGGAAUAUAGAGGUUACAGCAAAAGGAAAUGAAAAAUGAAGCCAUGGGAUCCACCACGGGAUAGGAAUGAGAUCCAGCAGGCUAAUAGGCAUUAAGCAUUCUUCUCCUUAUUGAGUAAGUUCCCAUUUGAAUAAGUCUCCAUUUGGACAAUACUGUUAUCCAUUUAUCUUCUCUUUCUUCUACUGGAUGAGGUCUUCUUCACUUUCUGACUAUCUUAGGGUUACUUAAACCAUGUUAAUGUAAUGCAAGUUUAUACUGUGUCAUUUUGUGUAACACUUUGCUUGUCUAAUUCAUAUACCAUACAGUUCGUGCAGCUGCUACAAGACCCUGACAACUUCCCAAAAGGAUGCGUUCUCCUAAGUUGAGGUUUAAGUGUGAAAGAAGAAAAGGUACCUUACAAAGAAAAUAAUCCUAUUUUUUGUUGCUUUUUGACUGAAAGGGUGUUCCAAAGACAAAAGAAAAUAAUUUUUACUAAAAUGAGAUGAGAAGGAAUAGUUAUGGUAACUAUGGUGACAGAAUUCACAGUAAAUUCCAGUCUGUGUUUACACAUAGGACUGUGCCUUAUGACUGUGUGCCUUAUCCCCUUAUGAGGGAUAACCAGCCACAACCCAUUAGAAUGUACAUGGAAUGUAUUUGUAAUUGCCCGCAAUAUUGAGCAUCUACUUUUGCUCAUAGGAUCCUUCAGACUAGAAUCAUGCCAACCUAGAACCAUACCAAGAGACCUCUCUCUGCUUCUGAGACCCCUUUAUCAGUGAGCUUUUAAACAGUACAGUUUGUACCAUUCUGUUUCACUUGGGCUUUGGUGGACUUCUAUGAACCUAUUCCCCUUAGUGGCGACAGAUUUUCUUUUCUAGUUUGACAGCUUAGGUGAUCAGCCCUCACAUAACUACAUUUUGCCUAUUUCCUAAAGGCAAGGAACAUUUUCCCUACAUUUCUGAAACUUUUAAUUUAAACUUCUCGUUUAAAGUGUAAGUACUUAAAAAUAAUUUGAAAAGCUGGGCAAUGUUUAGUAGAGAAAGAAACAGAUUUGCCAUCUGGGGGGUCCACAGCUGGAUGCAGGAUGCCACAUGGGGGGGGGUCUCAUGAGAGUAAAGUCUCAGGAUCACUUCUCUCUACCUGCUGGUCACCCUUCUUGUGAUGCAGCCCAGAGUAUGUUUGGUUUUUGAGCUGUACAUGCUCAUUGCCAGGUCAUGUUGAGGCUCUCAUUCAUCCACAGCUCCAAGUCCUUCUUUUCAGGGCUGCUCCCAAUCCCCUCUCCACCCAACCAACCUGUACUUCUGCUUGAGAUGGCCUGGACUCAAGUGCAGGACCUUGCACUUGGCCUUGUUUGUCUUCAUGAGGUUCACGUGGUCCCACCUUCCAAAUCCUUCAAACCUUUGUGGCAGAGACAGAAAUGUGCCAAAGAAAUAAGAUUGAGCCUGAGAUCUGGAUAAAUCAUUGAUUUCUUUUUGCUGAACUGACCUUAUCUCACUGAAUCUGGAAGGCAGAAAACCUGGUCAUGGAGGAAGAGCCUGACUCUUCUCCAUAUUUUUCAUAUUUUCUGAAUACUGUUUUAUAAAAUUGCAGGGUUUUAUAUGGAAUUUUUAAUUAUUUUAUUUCAUUCUAUGCAAAACCAGAAAGAAGAACCCUCUGAAACCUUAAAGUGUGCUUUUCUUUGUUAAGUCUGUAAGGGUAUACUUCAGUAAGGUUCUGCAUAGAAAUAAUGAUCUGCUUGCAAUUUAAUGUGUGCUAGAAAAUUCAAUACAGAAAUUAUACUCAUUAAAUCAAACAAACAACUCCCCAAACUAUUUCAUGCACACACAGGUCCCUUUACCCACACUGGAUAAAUAAGCAAAGAAUCUCCCUUGCUCAUCAGAAGAAUUAAUUUAUAUGCCACAUUUGGAUAAGAGUUACUUGACCUGAAGGCAUUAUAACUACAACAAUACAUAUGUUUGCAUCAAGUUCCUUCUUAAAUGUUUAGAAUUCAGCCAUAAAAGGGACUUCUGGGAAUCUAGAAAUUGGUAACUUCUGCCUACCCUGUAAGAGUCUGCAAAUUCCUCAUGUCACACAAUCCACACAGAUUCUCUGGAACUAGCCCUGCAUGACCCCAACAAAAAGUAAAGCAAGUUUUCUCUUCCUGUAGUCUAUCUGUUCAGCUAAGAUAGCCAUGAAUUUACAGGCUACCUAGCUUAUCCAGCUAAAGUAACAGCUCCUGGCAAUUCUUUCAAUUGGUAAUGAGCAUCAUCUCUAAUUCACCUGCUGAGACCUCAUGCUGUCUUGCCUCCCUUUCCCUUGUAGACAAAUAUGAACCUUCUUCAUGCAAGCAUUUGUAAUUCAGCUUUAAAGCUCAGUAAUAUUGUUCCAGGGUCCUGAUUUGGAUCUUGCUCUCUUCUCUUUGCAAUGUGAACUUCAAAAGGGCCACUCUUGGUUUGUACUACAGCUUCACAAACCUCAUUGACAAGAUGUGCCUACAUUGGGGUCCUGGUUUGGGGCAGGAGUGCUUUUCUGAAGUCAGUGUCUCAUAUAGAGAGACCAGAGAUGAAUUAAAUCCCUUCUGAUAAAAUCCAUCCCGGAACUCACCUGCUCUAGUCCAACACUCCAUGGGACCAGAGUAGGGCUAGACUAUAGUAAAACACCCAAAAUAUGUAUAUUUGUGUAUUGCUACAAAGCGUAGGGGCUCAGAACUAAUAGUUCUACCUAUAAAACUUCUUCUAUUGGCACCUAUAUCUCUUGCUAAUGGAAAUGUAGCCUCAACAGCCCUCAGAUAUUUUAAUUUCUGUGUUAUCUUUGUGUGACUUGCUGUAACUAAAAUGGCUAGAGGCAAAAUACGCAGCUGGAUAAAUUUAGCUGCAGUUAACAUAAGCAGUUACUGCUUCUCUUUAUAUGUUGCUGAUGUAAAAGGGAUUUUUUAGGCUACUGAUGAUGAUGUGAAUGCCCAUAAUUGUAGUCUAAGAGUGUGUAGGUGUAGUAUUUGGAAAAAAGGGUUAUGUUAAUCUAAGAAAAUAGGUUUGAAAGAAAAGUUAGAAAAGCAUUAAUCCAUCCUCUUGUCCCAAAUCAAGAAUGACUGCAUGCAAACCAUUCCUGGUCAGUAUUUGUGGAACCUAGAAAAACCUAGAGUUUCUUAUUCGAUAAUUAAAAUUGUAAACACAGUAUGCCAAAUGUUACAAUUUUUUCCUAAUAAAUAAUUUAAUUUCCCCAGAAGCACAGGACUUAAAAGAUACAUAAGCAGGGUUAUAUAAAUCCUUUUGCAGCAUUUCCUUAUAAUAAGUGGUAAUUGGAAACUUUUCUGUAUAGGAUGCCUUAAUGGGUACAAAGCUUUUAAAUUUUUGCAUGUUUGAAAUUUCUUUUGGAAAAUUUCAGCCAAAGUGAUUCCACAAUUUUUUUUCCAGUCAUUUCCUUUCAUCAUUCUCUCUCCUUUGCUCCUCACAAACAGUAGCACCAUCAGGGAAGAGAUCUUUUUUUUUUGCCCAUGCUAUAAUGUUCUGAGAUUAUACCUUUAAAAAUCCCUAGUCUUCAAAGUUGUUUGAAAAGUUGUGGGGUCUUUUAUUUUUUUGCUUGCGGGUUUUUUGUUGGGUUUUUUUUGUCGUGGGCAACCUAUUUCAAUCUCUGUGAAAACAAACUGGUGAGUACAGCAGAAUUUUUAAAUUUCUAUAGUUAAAAUGGCCAAAGAAAUUCAAAUGCCAUUUUUCUUCAAGCUAGUUUCCCUCAGACAGAUCCCAAAAUGGUGCUCAAGCUACACCUGUCCCAUUCCUGUAGAAUGGUGUGGUUCUCAUAGCUCAGAAAUAACCAUGCUGAAUAACUGUUGCUGCUACAAACUAUUUGUAUAUGCCUGAGCUCAGGACUACAGAAGUUUCAGCAGCUUUCCCUUAAUUAUAUUUCGGUGAGCCUAGCCUCUUGAAGAAGAAGAAGUAAUAUUUUCUUGUUGUGAGGAGUAGAGUAAAAGCAGAAGGGGGAAAUGGAAUAAAUUCAAAGUGUGGUUAGACAAAGACUGCAUGAGAGUCAGAAAACUGGAGAAGGACCCAGUGAAAGCAUUUGGUAAUGAAUUAGAAAGAAAAGAAAGGAAAAUAUACUGGAUUUUGCUGUGCCAGUUUGGUGAGAAACAAUUAAUACCCAAUUUUUUGAAUUGGAGUAGGGGGAAUAAAUGGGAAAUUGGAAGUCAAUUGUUCAAAAACAGAAUGCUGAGAGCAGGAGCUAGAAUUAAAAAGUUUAAGAAUGAUCUGGGUUGGUCAUCAGUAACCUAUUUACAGAACAGGUUGGGCAUCUCUUGAGUGAGGCAGAAUCCUAGGCCUGAGAAUUGUGUGAGAAAAAAUGAUUUUAACAUAUGCCUCAGAUUCAGCCAUACACAGCUAAUGCCAUUGACCUUUUUCACAGAUGCAUUUUGGGAAGAUGGCCCAUGAAGUCUUCAAAAAUUCUAUUGAGGAGCUCUGUAGAAAGAAUUGUGAGAGAGCACUCAUAAUCACAUACUGCCUAUGUAAAAAUGUUUUAAGAGUGUGCAGAAGAGAGGCAAGCCCCUUAACUCAAGUCCAUUCUGCACAUCAAAUCAGCCUGAAAGAAUGAUGUGUGCCUCAUGAUUUUUUCUGUCUCUCUGUUCUCAAUCUAAUAAAUCUGGACACUAUGACAGGAAGCAGACCACAGUGGUGAAUCACCAGGGGGCAUAUCACCUACCAGGUACAACUCCUAUCCCACUGCUUCAUCUGUGGGCAGCACGCUGGCUGGCUGACUGACUGACUCAGAUCCACGUGCUCCGGGAGCCUGAUGUGAAGUCACAGGAAAAGAGCAAGAUCAUAGGUUGUGCUGAGAGGUGUAGAGGGGGAGAGAAUGGGAUGUCAGCCCCUUUUGUGUAGCAGGCUCUGAGCUGGCUAGGGUCCCAAUGGAGGGCUGAGGCUCAAAGAUAGGAAUUGCCAAGUCACGAUGAAAUAGCAAAGGAAGCCCCUGCCUUCCGCCUUUUGGACCCCAGCUUAUAUCUCUGUAACCCCAUAGAUCACUUUCCCCUAACCCCUACUAAUAGACAAGUUUGGAUCCCCUUAUACGCUAUAAAAAGGGGCUGUUUUAGCCCAUUCUGGUAUAGAAGAGCCAUCGCUGGAACCCUUCACAGACCCCUCAAUAAAACCAUUGCUGUGGAAUGCCAGGACGUUUUCUUCUUCCUCGCGUCUGCUUCCCGACUAGCCUGGGCACCUUAGCAAGCAAAGAGCUGGAAUCCCGAGAGAGCUGAAUCACUAAAGAGCUGAUAUCCUUUGGGUUUGCUAAGAUAGCCAGCAGCUGAGAGCGGCCUGGGUACUUGGACAGUCUGUCCCCAUGAAGGACUGAGCUAUCUGGUCCGGGCUGCCUGCUUGGGGGCAAACGAGCCCAGCACUUGUGCACCUGUAACUCAGUGAGAUUGGAUCAGUCUGCACUCAGAGUGUGGUUAUGCAACAAAAUAUUGCGGUAAUUUAUAUAUUUCUGGAGAGGAUGGCAGGUGAAUCAUGAUGUCUCUACAGACAGUUCUGUCAUUUCCUAGGUCUGAAUUCCAGCAACUGAAUGUCAGCUUUAAUAAUGCUCUUUAACAAAUCCUUCUGUGUAUCAUUAAUUUGUAAUUUUGUAAUCUAGCUGUAAUUUGAGACAUGUAUUUAUUGAGUUUGCUUCAAGAGGAUGGGAACCUGCCUGCAAUUAAUGUGGUAUCUUUUGACUUCUUCAUUCAGUAAGGAGUAUAAUUUGCCCCAAUUCUUUGUUUCUCUCUCUGCACCCAUUCCAAUACAUUGCUAUAUUUCUAGAUAUUGUGAUGUGAGAAUUAAUCCUGUAAGAAGUAUUCCCUCUUUUCUCCAACCCCUUUCUCCAAACCCUCUCUCUUCCACAGCAGGCUCUGACAAUACUGAUGGCCAAAAUAGCAUAUUCAUCUUUGUACAAGUAGAUCAAAGACUUUCAAGCAACACAUGUAGGAAUAUAUCAGAUUCCUUUCUUCUUCCUUAUGUAACUUGCUCUCUUUCCUUAAGGUAAUAGCUCUUGGGUGUAGAAAGAGAAGAAAUAAGAUCAGGUUGCACUCCAUCUUGAGAAAAAUGAAAAUUCCCUUGAAUUCAGAAAUGUCUUUUUAAAUUCUGUACACAUGGAGAUUGUGAAGAGCUGAAAAUAUAACAGACAAUGAUGUAGUGACUAGUUGCUAGUUUGAGCCAUUGCCAAAGGCAUUGGAGAUGGGAAGCCCAGAGUUUCAGGGUAUGCUGAAGUUGGGAGGGAAUUGUCUUAGGAGUAGUCCAUGACAGUAUCCUUAGGGCCUAAUUAAGCUGGUACUAUCAGGAACACCAGCAAUUCAAGAAGAUUGUAAUAACCUUUUGGUCCAAUUAAAUAGGAUUUUUCUUUCAUAUUCUUCACCGCUUUGGAUUUCUAUGCUGAAUUGUUUGAUUCCUGUCCAUUGCUGCACACUCAAGUGGCUUGGAAAGCUAAGUGCAUAUUCUCUGAAUUGUGUUUAUUAAACUUUGAGGAAAACUUUUUAUUUGUUUUCUUUGAGCACUGAGAUUUUUAAUAAAAGCUUUGAAGAAGAGGUGCUCACAUCUAGUGUUUCAGUCAAGAUGUCAUGCAAUGCUUUUUUUGAAGACAUCAAGGUUUUAGCUAACUUCCUUUGUACCUGAUCAUAGCCCAUAAAAGGUAAUCAGCAUAAAAAAAUAUGUGGCCAUUUGAAUUUCAUAACCUUGAGAGACAGGAAAAGUGUUUUACAUUAUUUCUAUUUUUUUCCAUUAGUACACCUCCUAGAACCUUAGAAAUAAAUGCCCAGUGAGCCACUGUAGUGAUACAGCAGCUGGUAUAAAGAGGUUAGUUUACUGUAUAUAAUGAACAAUGUGCAAAUAUGCUAUUUUUACCCUCAUAAAAGUUCAUGGAGCUCAUUGGCCAUGAGUCACUGCUGAGUCUGGGGAUCUGAUUUUAGAACAACAUUCUUAGAACACGAGUUAUCAUCUUUCAUUAUUCUCUUUUCUUCAGGCAGUGGUGCUGGCUUUGCGAAAGCAAGGAAAAAUGUGGACUUCAGCUUGGGACACAGGGGAGAGCCUGUGUUUUCACGAGACUCCCAGCUUUGCACCUUCAAGCACCCAUUCUCAGACUCUCCCAUAAUGCUGUUUCAAAGCCAAGAGCUGAUCCAACCAGUGUUUCCUUUUGAAUUUAUAUCCUGAUCCAGUGGGCUUCCAUGAGCACUUCUUGAAAACAGCUUAUGUAAAGUAGUUCUAGAGGAAGUUUUAAAAGCAGUCUUGACUUUGUGCCACCAUCCACUGAUGAAAAGAAUGGAUAUCUUGCUGCAACAAAUGGCAGGACGAAUUGAAGCAAACAUGAACCAGUUCCUGAGCUGAAGCACUCACAGUCAAGCACAAUAAGGCAACUGAAAAUGAGUAUCAGGGUAUACGACAAUGCUUCAGUGGGUUUGGUGCUAUUCUACCUUCCUGUCUAGCAACAGCAAUCAAGGAGCAUAUGGUGAAUAUCUUGUGGCAGGAGCCUUUUUAGCUGCCAAGUUGGAUACACCAACAAUCACAAACCAAAUCUGCAAUAUGAUAACAUAGCUACCAUAUUUUAGGAAUGAUAAUCUGAGGUGCAUCCUUCGCUACAAAUGCUCCAUCUAUCUGGAAAGUUUGCAGGAGGUUAAUAGUGCUUCAUAUGGUCUUGUUCUGGAUUUUGCUGUUGAGCUGUGCUGCAGAAAGGAAACUGUUUGUGUGAGGAGAUGGCUGGUGUACAGUGACAGAACAACAGCUAAGAGCAUGGGAUUGUUUUUGAGCUCUGUGGAUGAAAAUAACACAUUACUGUCAAUGCACCUGCCUUGGAAUGCUCCCUGCGUACAAAAAGCCUUUUUUCUGUCUCAUUUGAGGCAAAGAGUGUGCAUGCCUGAAAAAUAACACAUUAUCUACCAGGUGCAAAUUUAGGAUUUUGCUGAUUGAAUGUUAAAGACUGUUUAAUUGCUAGGAUGUAACAUGGAGUUGCAUAAGAAAAUCAUGGACUUGGAAGGCUGGCCAGAAAAGCUACGUGAUUGUCUGUGUCUGCAUACAAAUGCUUCUCACAGCCCCUGUGACAUAUAGGCUGCAUUUUUGAUACUCUAUGCACCAGCAUUUGGAAUAUUAAAUAGUGAACUUCAAAAUAAGAAAAUGAAGAUUUUCUACUCACAAAUAGUAUUUUGAAACUAUGUAGCUGGAUAAAGUCAAAUUUAUCCAGAACUCUGGUGACCAACAGUGGUGAUAACCGAUUGCAAAUAUAUACAUAAAAAUAUUAGAAUUAGAAUAAAUGUGCCAUAUAAAACUGCAGGCCUUCAGUGAAUUCAGAUUAAUUAUUCAUAUACCUGUGUAUAUUAUGAUUUCAUGACAUAAUAAAGAUGUCUCUUUAAAACAACAACUGAAUAAUGUCUAACAUUAUUACAUGUAGAGGACACUAGUUAAUUUGCAAAACAUUUUAAAGGUUCUUUUUAAUGCAACACGUAUCUGAUGUAGUACUGAUGUGGCAGUUUGUUUACAGCUGUUUUUAUAAGAUCUGAGUUUAAACCAAAAUACUUCUGUUUGCACUAGUAAAUAAAUCAUCAGCAUCUUG